rnacentral:other from 1 species
ACUGAAUCUAACUUUGAUGCCGUAAGGCGUUGAGCAC